GGAUGUGAGGGCAAUCUGGCUGUGACAUCUGUACCCCAUUGAUCGCCGGUGUUGAUUUGGUUGAUCUGGCUGGCUAGACGGGUGUCCCCUUCCUCCCUCACCGCUCCAAGUGCAUCCCUCCCGAAGCUGCGUGCUCUGUAGAAGAGGAUGAUCUUCUCCCGAUAGAAGAGGACCUUUCGUCUGUCAAGGGAAUAACAAGUAGCUGCGCUCACCUGCUAGAAACUCCAAACAAGCUCUCAAGGUGCAUUUGUAGAAGGUAGGGUAGUCAGCUUCCAAGACUCCAGGCACAUCCAAAUGAGGUGCUGCGCAUGACAGUCUUUCUGU
rnacentral:snRNA from 1 species